rnacentral:rRNA from 1 species
ACGAAUCCCUUCGGGGAUUAGUGGCGGACGGGUGAGUAACGCGUGAGAAUUUACCAAAAGGACCGGGACAACCACUGGAAACGGUGGCUAAUACCGGAUGAGCCGAAAAGUAAAAAGGGAAACCUGCCUUUUGAAGAGCUCGCGUCUGAUUAGCUAGUUGGUAGGGUAAAAGCCUACCAGGGCAUCGAUCAGUAGCUGGUCUGAGAGGAUGACCAGCCACACUGGGACUGAGACACGGCCCAGACUCCUACGGGAGGCAGCAGUGGGGAAUUUUCCGCAAUGGGCGAAAGCCUGACGGAGCAAGACCGCGUGAGGGAGGAAGGCUCUUGGGUUGUAAACCUCUUUUGUCAGGGAAGAGCACAAUGACGGUACCUGAAGAAUCAGCAUCGGCUAACUCCGUGCCAGCAGCCGCGGUAAUACGGGGGAUGCAAGCGUUAUCCGGAAUUAUUGGGCGUAAAGCGUCCGCAGGUGGCUAAUCAAGUCUGCUGUCAAAGGUUGGGGCUUAACCCCAAAAAGGCAGUGGAAACUGAAAAGCUAGAGUGCAGUAGGGGUAGAGGGAAUUCCCGGUGUAGCGGUGAAAUGCGUAGAGAUCGGGAAGAACAUCGGUGGCGAAAGCGCUCUACUGGACUGCAACUGACACUCAGGGACGAAAGCUAGGGGAGCGAAUGGGAU